AACGAACGCUGGCGGCAUGCCUAACACAUGCAAGUCGAACGCUCCGCAAGGGGAGUGGCGAACGGGUGAGUAACGCGUGGGAACCUGCCCAGUAGUUGGGGAUAACCGCGGGAAACUGCGGCUAAUACCGAAUACGCCCUAAGGGGGAAAGAUUUAUCGCUAUUGGAGGGGCCCGCGUCGGAUUAGCUGGUUGGUGAGGUAACGGCUCACCAAGGCGACGAUCCGUAGCUGGUCUGAGAGGAUGAUCAGCCACACUGGGACUUAGACACGGCCCAGACUCCUACGGGAGGCAGCAGUGGGGAAUAUUGGACAAUGGGGGCAACCCUGAUCCAGCAAUGCCGCGUGGAGUGAUGAAGG
rnacentral:rRNA from 1 species